UUAGAGAUUGUCUCUACUUUAUUUCUUUCGUACAGCUCGUAUCUGCAGUUUAAAAUUUUUGUGAGUAUUCAUAAUACAAGUAUUUCUCUUGAAAAUGUCUGCCGGAGCGUAUUGCAUGAUGAUCAAUUGUAAUAACAAUAAAAAAGAUCAUCCUGAACUAACAUUCUUCAAGUUACCAAAGAAAAUGGACAUUGCUUUAAAGUGGAUAGAGUUUUCUGGACGUAAAGACAUUGAUCUACAGAAGAGGUACACCAUGUGCAGUGCACAUUUUUCAUGCGAGCAGUUCAAAUGUCUUCAUCCACGUAAAUUAUUGUAUCAAGAAAGCAUUCCUUGCAUUAAGGGACCACGUGGGAAUGAACACCAAGAGUUUUCCAAUGACCUUGUCUUUGAAAAUAGUUCACUCAAUAAUAUUGAUAUUCCUUCAACAUCGAGUAAUAUCACACCUGGGAUUACCCACAAUGAAGAGGAGUUUUCUAAUGAUAUCAUCUUUGAAAAUAUUUCCUUCGAUAAUAUUGGUAAGUCAAACAUUUAGUUAAUUCAUAUAUUUAUACUGUGAAUAUGACUGACAUUGGAAAUCCACUCUUAUAAUAUUACUCUUUCCAGAUAUUCCUUCAACAUCGAGUAAUAUCACACCUGGGAUUACCCACAAUGAAGAGGAGUUUUCUAAUGAUAUCAUCUUUGAAAAUAUUUCCCUCGAUAAUAUUGAUAUUCCUUCAACAUCGAGUAAUAUCACACCUGGGAUUACCCACAAUGAAGAGGAGUUUUCUAAUGAUAUCAUCUUUGAAAAUAUUUCCCUCGAUAAUAUUGGUAGGUCAAACAUUUAGUUAAUUCAUAUAUUUAUACUGUGAAUAUGACUGACAUUGAAAAUCCACUCUUAUAAUAUUACUCUUUCCAGAUAUUCCUUCAACAUCGAGUAAUAUCACACCUGGGAUUACCCACAAUGAAGAAGAGUUUUCUAAUGAUAUCAUCUUUGAAAAUAUUUCCCUCGAUAAUAUUGGUAAGUCAAACAUUUAGUUAAUUCAUAUAUUUAUACUGUGAAUAUGACUGACAUUGAAAAUCCACUCUUAUAAUAUUACUCUUUCCAGAUAUUCCUUCAACAUCGAGUAAUAUCACACCUGGGAUUACCCACAAUGAAGAGGAGUUUUCUAAUGAUAUCAUCUUUGAAAAUAUUUCCCUCAAUAAUAUUGGUAAGUCAAACAUUUAGUUAAUUCAUAUAUUUAUACUGUGAAUAUGACUGACAUUAAAAAUCCAUUCUUAUGAUAUUACUUUUUCCAGGUAUUCCUUCAACAUCGAGUGAUGUGACACACUAUGAAGGGGAGUUUGGAAACGAUAUUGUUUUUGAAAACAUUCCACUGGAUAGUGUU